UACAGAGGUCUCAAGCGUUGUUCGGAUUCAUUGGGCGUAACGGGUGUGUAGGUGGCGCCGUCAGUGGGGUGUGAAAUUUCGAGGCUUAACCUCGAAACUGCAUUCCAUACUGCGGUGCUUGAGGACUGGAGAGGAGACUGGAAUUUACGGUGUAGCAGUGAAAUGCGUAGAUAUCGUAAGGAAGACCAGUGGCGAAGGCGGGUCUCUGGACAGUGCCUGACACUGAGACACGAAAGCCAGGGGAGCAAACGGG
rnacentral:rRNA from 1 species